UAGAGUUUGAUCAUGGCUCAGGAUGAACGCUAGCGGCAGGCUUAACACAUGCAAGUCGAGGGGUAACGGCCCCGAGCAAUCGGGGGCCGACGACCGGCGCACGGGUGAGUAACGCGUAUACGACCUACCUUUUACAGGGGGAUAGCCCGGGGAAACCCGGAUUAAUACCCCAUGGUGCCGCGAUGGUGCAUACCAUCGUGGUCAAAGCUUCGGCGGUAAAAGAUGGGUAUGCGUCCCAUUAGCUUGUAGGUAAGGUAACGGCUUACCUAGGCGAUGAUGGGUAGGGGCCCUGAGAGGGGGGUCCCCCACACUGGUACUGAGACACGGACCAGACUCCUACGGGAGGCAGCAGUGAGGAAUAUUGGACAAUGGGCGGGAGCCUGAUCCAGCCAUGCCGCGUGCAGGAAGACGGCCCUAUGGGUUGUAAACUGCUUUUACAGGGGAAGAAACACCUCCACGUGUGGGGGCUUGACGGUACCCUGCGAAUAAGGAUCGGCUAACUCCGUGCCAGCAGCCGCGGUAAUACGGAGGAUCCAAGCGUUAUCCGGAAUCAUUGGGUUUAAAGGGUCCGUAGGCGGGACGGUCAGUCAGUGGUGAAAGUCUGUGGCUCAACCAUAGAAUUGCCAUUGAAACUGCUGUCCUUGAGUUGUUGUGAAGUGGUUGGAACAUGUAGUGUAGCGGUGAAAUGCAUAGAUAUUACAUAGAACACCUAUUGCGAAGGCAGAUCACUAACAAUAUACUGACGCUGAUGGACGAAAGCGUGGGUAGCGAACAGGAUUAGAUACCCUGGUAGUCCACGCCGUAAACGAUGGUCACUAGCUGUCCGGUGCACAUUGGUGCGCUGGGUGGCCAAGCGAAAGUGAUAAGUGACCCACCUGGGGAGUACGUUCGCAAGAAUGAAACUCAAAGGAAUUGACGGGGGCCCGCACAAG
rnacentral:rRNA from 1 species